UACGAAGGGGGCUAGCGUUGCUCGGAAUCACUGGGCGUAAAGGGUGCGUAGGCGGGUCUUUAAGUCAGGGGUGAAAUCCUGGAGCUCAACUCCAGAACUGCCCUUUGAUACUGAGGAUCUUGAGUUCGGGAGAGGUGAGUGGAACUGCGAGUGUAGAGGUGAAAUUCGUAGAUAUUCGCAAGAACACCAGUGGCGAAGGCGGCUAUCUGGACGGUUUCUGACGCUAAGACGCGAAAGCGUGGGGAGCAACAGG
rnacentral:rRNA from 1 species